UACAGAGGUGGCAAGCGUUGUUCGGAAUUACUGGGCGUAAAGGGCGCGUAGGCGGCCUACUAAGUCAGACGUGAAAUCCCCCGGCUUAACCUGGGAACUGCGUCUGAUACUGGAAGGCUUGAGGAUGGGAGAGGGAUGUAGAAUUCCAGGUGUAGCGGUGAAAUGCGUAGAUAUCUGGAGGAAUACCGGUGGCGAAGGCGGCAUCCUGGACCAUUACUGACGCUGAGGCGCGAAAGCUGGGGGAGCAAACGGG
rnacentral:rRNA from 1 species